rnacentral:rRNA from 1 species
AAACUGCGGCAUGCCUACAAUGCUAGUCACCUCGGAGAGUGGGGCGACUCACUCUCAGUGGCAAACGGGUGAGUAACACGUGAAUAACCUGCCUUUGAGAAGGGGAUAACUGUCCGAAAGGAUAGCUAAUACCCUAUAUUGCCUUUUGUCACUAAGGCAAAAGGUGAAAGCGAGGCUGUCAAAGGCUUCGGCUCAAAGAGGGGUUCGCGUCCUAUCAGGUAGUUGGUGGGGUAAUGGCCUACCAAGCCAAUGACGGGUAGCUGGUCUUAGAGGAUAAUCAGCCACAGUGGGACUGAGACACGGCCCGCACCCCUACGGGGGGCAGCAGUGAGGGAAUCGUGGGCAAUGGGCGCAAGCCUGACCCCGCAAUGCCACGUGAGGGAAGAAGCCCUUAGGGGUGUAAACCUCUGUCAGAUGGAAAGAUGGGACUAGGGGCUAAUACCUCCUAGUCUUGACAGUACCAUCAAAGGAAGGGACGGCUAACUACGUGCCAGCAGCUGCGGUAAU